AAUGAAGAGCCUGAUUAAAGGAUUAUCGUGAUAGGAUAAAAUAUGUAAUUAAAAUUACCUUCAUUA
rnacentral:tRNA from 1 species